UACGGAGGGUGCAAGCGUUAUCCGGAUUCACUGGGUUUAAAGGGUGCGUAGGUGGGUUUGUAAGUCAGUGGUGAAAUCUCCAAGCUUAACUUGGAAACUGCCGUUGAUACUAUAAAUCUUGAAUGUUGUGGAGGUGAGCGGAAUAUGUCAUGUAGCGGUGAAAUGCUUAGAUAUGACAUAGAACACCAAUUGCGAAGGCAGCUCACUACACGAAUAUUGACACUGAGGCACGAAAGCGUGGGGAUCAAACAGG
rnacentral:rRNA from 1 species